GAAAUGCGAUAAGUAGUGUGAAUUGCAGAAUUCAGUGAAUCAUCGAAUCUUUGAACGCACAUUGCGCCCUUUGGUAUUCCUUAGGGCAUGCCUGUUCGAGCGUCAUCUAAACCUUCAAGCCCUGCUUGGUGUUGGGUGCCUGUCCCGCCUCCGCGCGCGGACUCACCUCAAAUCCAUUGGCGGCCCCCGCGUCGGCCACGAGCGCAGCAGAAACGCGAACUCGUGAGCCCGUCCGGGCGGCUCCCAGAAGCUACACCCACCCAGUUUGACCCCGGAUCAGGUAGGGAUACCCGCUGAACUUAAGC
rnacentral:misc_RNA from 1 species